CAAGAUGGCCAAAUAGGAAUAGCCCCAGUCUACAGCUCCCAGCGUGAGUGACGUAGAAGAUGGGUGAUUUCUGCAUUUCCAUCUGAGAAGUUGGACUUUCAGGCUCUGCAUUAAUCAAAACAACAAAAAUCCUUAAAGAAUGAGAAGAUUCAUUUAAGUCCACUGCUUUGCAAAUAUGGAAUCAGGGGUGCAAUAUAUUGAUGGUGUUCUGUGGAGGACAAUGUGCAGAAGACAUCUUAGACAUAGAGAACACAAAUUUUAAGUGCAUUUGGUAUUCAGAAGAAACAGAUUUUUAAGAGAGAACAAAAUUCUCUCCCAGAUCAUCAGAUAUAACAAGUUUGAUGCUGCACAAGUGACAUUUUUUUGUGUGUGAAUGCAGCAGAAAUCUGUUUCUCCUGAGUCCCCUGCUAUUUAUGAAUGCAAAGAAGAAACCAACCUUCCCUUCCCUAAUUGCACCUGGCAAAUAAUCAGAAUGACAGAUUGGGAAUGUUCUUAGUUAGUAAAUUCCUUAGACAGAGAAAAACACCCUGACACACACCACAAUUAUAUCUUCUCUUCCACCUCCCACAUGCACAAUCACCAUAGCUGUCAUUUCUACCACCAUUGAGAAAAUACCUAAGCCAUCCAGGUCUUCUCUCUAUGAAUGUCUUUAUUUCCCAGCUUCAUUCUUUUA